rnacentral:rRNA from 1 species
GGUUCGGAGCAACACAGGGAAACUUGUGCUAAUACCGGAUAAGCCCUUACGGGGAAAGAUUUAUCGCCGAAAGAUCGGCCCGCGUCUGAUUAGCUAGUUGGUGAGGUAAUGGCUCACCAAGGCGACGAUCAGUAGCUGGUCUGAGAGGAUGAUCAGCCACAUUGGGACUGAGACACGGCCCAAACUCCUACGGGAGGCAGCAGUGGGGAAUGUUGGACAAUGGGCGCAAGCCUGAUCCAGCCAUGCCGCGUGAGUGAUGAAGGCCCUAGGGUUGUAAAGCUCUUUUGUGCGGGAAGAUAAUGACGGUACCGCAAGAAUAAGCCCCGGCUAACUUCGUG